CUUUGAGUAAAUCAAUCUGUUGAUCAAGCAGCAAAAUACUCUGCACAAACAAGCUAAGGGCUAGUUAGUUGAGUAAAUCAAGAAAAGAUGAGUUCCAACCAGUACUGGCAAUCAAUUAGUAAUUCGGAUGACGAAUACCUGGAUCAUAUUAAAAGAAUGGAGAAAUCUCCAACAAUGCACCCUGAUAUCCCUCUCUACCCCAAUGUCUCCUCUCUUUUCAAAAACAAAUUGAAUAACAAAGGACUAGUGAAUCGUCAGAAGAACCAAGCCGCGGAGUCACAGAAGAAGGUUCAGUUUGCGGACUCAAACAAGAAUGGUAAGGAGAAGCCCACAGGUUUUAUGCUUCACAAAUGGAGGACUUACAAAGUUUCAGCUUGAAGGGUUUCAAUCUUAUUAGCACCCACUUUUCAUCAAUAAUCUUGCUUUCCAAAUGAAGAAUUUCAUGUUUGUUGUAUCCAUAGUGUUGAUCAGUACAUUUGUACGUUUGAUUUGGUCUAAUCUCAUAGAAAAUAUAGUAUUGUGUCUAAACUUAUCUUUUCUGAUCUAAAGGCUUUGUA
rnacentral:misc_RNA from 1 species